GCUACGGGUGGCAGCAGUGGGGAAUAUUGCACAAUGGGGGAAACCCUGAUGCAGCGACGCCGCGUGCGUGAAGAAGUAUCUCGGUACGUAAAGCUCUAUCAGCAGGGAAGAAAAUGACGGUACCUGACUAAGAAGCCCCGGCUAACUACGUGCCAGCAGCCGCGGUAAUACGUAGGGGGCAAGCGUUAUCCGGAGUUACUGGGUGUAAAUGGAACGUAGACGGGAGAAAGAGGCUGGAGUGAAAUCCCGGGGCUUAACCCCGGAACUGCUUUGGAAACUGUGCGGCUGGAGUGCAGGAGGGGUAAGCGGAAUUCCUAGUGUAGCGGUGAAAUGCGUAGAUAGUAGGAGGAACACCGGUGGCGAAGGCGGCUUACUGGACUGUAACUGACGUUGAGGCUCGAAAGCGUGGGGAGCAAACAGGAUUAGAUACCCUAGUAGUC
rnacentral:rRNA from 1 species